UACGUAGGGCGCAAGCGUUGUCCGGAAUUAUUGGGCGUAAAGCGCUCGCAGGUGGUUCGUUGCGUCGUGCGUGAAAGACCCCGGCUCAACUGGGGAGGGUCGUGCGAUACGGGCGGACUGGAGGCCAGUAGGGGGAUGCGGAAUUCCGGGUGUAGUGGUGGAAUGCGUAGAGAUCCGGAGGAACACCAGCGGCGAAGGCGGCAUCCUGGACUGGUCCUGACACUCAGGAGCGAAAGCGUGGGGAGCGAUCCGG
rnacentral:rRNA from 1 species